GUCCAGCCUAGACAAGUUCUACAACAAAGUCUCCAAAUUGCCCCAUGGUUUUUCAUCUUUUUCUCUGGAAACAAUGUUACUUCAUGCCGUUGGCUACCCACUACACUCUUACCAAGCUGAUAAACAGCAAGAGUUGAAAAGUGACCUUGAUUUACUAGACACAAUGGAGUCCCCACUGACAACAGCAUAGUCGCCGCUGCCACGACCAACGUUUCUGUGGCCUCCGCUGAGACACACGCCGUGAAAGGAGGUCUCCGGUGCCAUGGGACCCAUCUACAGCACAGCUCCUGCAUCCAAGACUCAAGAAGCCUCUUAGAAGAGGGAAGGGGAAAGAUUGUGAGAGCCAGCGGACCAGGAAAUCUGCUGUGAGAUUGUGCCUCCUAGAAAAAGGACAAGGCAGCUUAACCCACGAUGCAUGAUCACAAUUUUAAAAAAAGAUCGUCCCUGGGGCUGGAGAGAUGGUUCAACGCUUGAGAACGCUUGUUUUUCCAGAAGACCUGAGUUCGGUUCCUGGAACCCUUGUUGGCAGCUCACAGUCAACUAUGACUCUACCUCUAUAGAAUGAGGUGCUUUCGACUCUGACCUCCUCAGACACCCUAGCAUACACACACACACACAGAGAGAGAGAGAGAGAGAGAGAGAGAGAGAGAGAGAGAGAGAGAGAGAGAUACACACACAUAGAGCACACACCUCUAAUCCCAGCACUUGGGAGGCAGGGGCAGGUGGAUGCCUGUGAGUUCAAGGCCAGCCUGGCCUACACAGAGAAAGCCCAGGUCUCCACUUUGAGAUCUCCCAUUUAGUCAUAUCACCAAUGUGGCCACAAAGAGUCAAGACCAAAAGGAGAAAAUCCAGAAAGCAGAAAAAUGUGUCUCUGCUGCCUGGCCUGUGGCGUCACUGCAAAAAGACUCUUCAGUGAGAGUGGGGACCUGAUUACCCUAUCUCGUGUCUUUUUGGUUUUGGGUAAGGUAUGUGUGUGUGUGUGUAUGUGGGUGUGUGCGUGUGAGUGCAUGUGCCCACAGAGACUAGAGGUUUCAGAUCUCCUGUAACUGGAUUUACAGGUUGUAAGCUGCCUCACAUGAGUACUAGAAAAGGAAACUCCAGUUGUCUCUAAGAACAAGAAGCACUCCUAGCUGCUGAGCCAGCCGUCCCUCCAGCCCCCACUGGUACUUCUUAAAUACCUAACUGUGUAGUACAAAGAUGGCUCUCAAGUACAUACUGUUGGACGUGUGGAAUGACGGCUGCUGGGACAGAUAUGCAAAUGACCAGUCUUGCUGUGUCCAGCCACCUUCUACUAGCCUGUGGGUAUAAAAACAAACCACCCACCACCCACCACCCACCACCCACCACCCACCACCCACCACCCACCACCCACCACCCACCACCCACCACCCACCACCCCCACCCCGGAAUGGCUACAGUGUCAGAAGGUUUGAAAGUUUCGACACAGGAAGUCUAAACCAAAGGAAGACUUUUUGAAGUGGUGCUCAACCUGAAGUUGUUUUCUUCCUGUCAGGGUCAGGACUGUGUGACUCCCUAAGAACAGAGCAAAGGAAUUCCUAGGUACUAGGAGGCAACCACAGAGACCCAUGUCCUUGGAAAGCAGCUGUUCCUCUUGCUGCAAUGCUGGGAUCUGUCUGUGCAGUAUCAAACCAAAAUCAGAGUGGGCAAGCUAACAGCUAAAGUUCACGUAGACUUUGCCGAUUAUCUAUGAGACCCCACCAAAAUUUGCUUUACAGUAUUGAACUAAGAUUUUUUUUCCUUCUUAAUAAUGGUAAUAAGUCAAACUAAUUGACAUAGGAUAAAAGUUGUAUUGACAUACGAUCUGCAUAUUGUAAGUUUCACGUAUUAUGUGCUCAGUUCAGUGGUUUAGGUAGAAUGGUCGUUUUGUGAGCAUUGUGUCAAUUCAGGAUCUUUGUUUGGAGGGUUUGUCUUUAUUUUUGUUUUUUGUUUGGUUUUGUUGGGUUGCAGUUGUUUGUUUGUUUGUUUGUUUUUUCUGUUGGUUGGUUUUGUCUUGUACUUGUUUGGGGGUGUUUUUGGUUUUGUUUUUGUUUUCUAAGACAGGGUUUCUCUGUGUAGCCCUGGCUGUCCUGGAACUCACUCUGUAGACCAGGCUGGCCUCAAACUCAGAAAUCCACCUGCCUCUGCCUCCCAAGUGCUGGGAUUAAAGGCGUGGGCCACCACUGCCUGGCACGUGUUUGUUUUUUUAAAGACAGGAUCUCAUGGGCUAUUUUUGAGAUUUGACUCUGUGUGUGUGUGUGUGUGUGUGACACAGAUUCAUUUCUUUUAUAUAU
rnacentral:lncRNA from 1 species